AUGGUUUGUUACAGUCUAGUUUGUUACAGUCUAGUUUGUUACAGUCUAGUGUGUUACAGUCUAGUGUGUUACAGUCUAGUUUGUUACAGUCUAGUUUGUUACAGUCUAGUUUGUUACAGUCUAGUUUGUUACAGUCUAGUUUGUUACAGUCUAGUGUGUUACAGUCUAGUUUGUUACAGUCUAGUUUGUUACAGUCUAGUUUGUUACAGUCUAGUUUGUUACAGUCUAGUUUGUUACAGUCUAGUUUGUUACAGUCUAGUUUGUUACAGUCUAGUUUGUUACAGUCUAGUUUGUUACAGUCUAGUGUGUUACAGUCUAGUGUGUUACAGUCUAGUUUGUUACAGUCUAGUGUGUUACAGUCUAGUUUGUUACAGUCUAGUGUGUUACAGUCUAGUUUGUUACAGUCUAGUGUGUUACAGUCUAGUUUGUUACAGUCUAGUGUGUUACAGUCUAGUUUGUUACAGUCUAGUGUGUUACAGUCUAGUGUGUUACAGUCUAGUUUGUUACAGUCUAGUGUGUUACAGUCUAGUGUGUUACAGUCUAGUUUGUUACAGUCUAGUUUGUUACAGUCUAGUGUGUUACAGUCUAGUUUGUUACAGUCUAGUGUGUUACAGUCUAGUUUGUUACAGUCUAGUUUGUUACAGUAUAGUUUGUUACAGUCUAGUUUGUUACAGUCUAGUUUGUUACAGUCUAGUUUGUUACAGUCUAGUUUGUUACAGUCUAGUGUGUUACAGUCUAGUGUGUUACAGUCUAGUUUGUUACAGUCUAGUGUGUUACAGUCUAGUUUGUUACAGUCUAGUGUGUUACAGUCUAGUUUGUUACAGUCUAGUGUGUUACAGUCUAGUUUGUUACAGUCUAGUGUGUUACAGUCUAGUUUGUUACAGUCUAGUGUGUUACAGUCUAGUUUGUUACAGUCUAGUGUGUUACAGUCUAGUGUGUUACAGUCUAGUUUGUUACAGUCUAGUUUGUUACAGUCUAGUUUGUUACAGUCUAGUUUGUUACAGUCUAGUUUGUUACAGUCUAGUUUGUUACAGUCUAGUUUGUUACAGUCUAGUGUGUUACAGUCUAGUUUGUUACAGUCUAGUUUGUUACAGUCUAGUUUGUUACAGUCUAGUUUGUUACAGUCUAGUUCUAAAAUGGAUUACAUUUUUUUAA
rnacentral:lncRNA from 1 species